CUCAGUUCUUCAAUUAUAUAAGAAUGAAGAGAACUACAUUCAAUCAUAUUCUUAACUUGAUAUUUUAUGACAUCAAUCCUAAAGCUACUAACUGCAAUAAGCAAGUAGAUGCAGAGGAUAGGCUAUUCCUCACCUUAAGAUAUUUGAUAACUGGUAUGUCGUUUUCUCUACUAUCAUACAGUUCAAGGACAUCAAAAUCAUGUGUUGCAUAUAUAGUUAAAUCAAUAUGCAGGGCAAUUUGGAAUGCAGCUAAAUAUAUUUACAUGCCAUCAAGAAAGGAUUGGGAAAAAAUUUCACAAGAGUUCCUGCUUCAUUUGAGGUUCCCCAUUGUUUUGGUGCCUUGGAUGGAAAACAUAUCUAUAUAAAAUGUCCUCCCAACCCAAUAGUGGAUAUCAAUUUUUUUGUUACAAACAUAGGUUUACUUUAGUUUUGUUAACAUUAACAAACCACAUGCUCGAGUUAGUGUUGAACAAAGUUUUGGAGGCAUUGUAAAAAAAUUUGAAAUUCUCAGCAAAUAUAGAAGUUAGUUUUUGGAGCAUAUAGAAAUAAUUGUCAAGACUAUAAGCCUUGUGCAUAAUAUAAUAAUAAGCAAUGAAGGAAUAGGUGCUGAAGUUGAUGACAUAGGUACAACAAAUAUUAUAGUAUUUUAUUUUCAUUAUAUUUA